rnacentral:rRNA from 1 species
CCUACGGAAGGCAGCAGUGGGGAAUCUUGCGCAAUGGGCGAAAGCCUGACGCAGCGACGCCGCGUGAGGGACGACGGCCUUCGGGUUGUAAACCUCUUUCAGGAGGGACGAAGCUACUCGGGUUAAUAGCCCAGAGGGUGACGGUACCUCCAGAAGAAGCCCCGGCUAACUACGUGCCAGCAGCCGCGGUAAU